rnacentral:rRNA from 1 species
CCUACGGGAGGCUGCAGUGAGGAAUAUUGGUCAAUGGACGAGAGUCUGAACCAGCCAAGUAGCGUGAAGGAUGACUGCCCUAUGGGUUGUAAACUUCUUUUAUAUGGGAAUAAAACGUUCCACGUGUGGGAUUUUGUAUGUACCAUAUGAAUAAGGCUCGGCUAACUCCGUGCCAGCAGCCGCGGUAAUACGGAGGAUCCGAGCGUUAUCCGGAUUUAUUGGGUUUAAAGGGAGCGUAGGUGGAUUGUUAAGUCAGUUGUGAAAGUUUGCGGCUCAACCGUAAAAUUGCAGUUGAAACUGGCAGUCUUGAGUACAGUAGAGGUGGGCGGAAUUCGUGGUGUAGCGGUGAAAUGCUUAGAUAUCACGAAGAACUCCGAUUGCGAAGGCAGUUCACUGGACUGCAACUGACACUGAGGCUCGAAAGUGUGGGUAUCAAACAGGAUUAGAUACCCUUGUAGUC